rnacentral:piRNA from 1 species
UCCCUCAUGGACCUUGCUGACGUCUUCACGU